UGGGGAAUAUUGGACAAUGGGCGAAAGCCUGAUCCAGCCAUGCCGCGUGUGUGAAGAAGGUCUUCGGAUUGUAAAGCACUUUAAGUUGGGAGGAAGGGCAUUAACCUAAUACGUUAGUGUUUUAACGUUACCGACAGAAUAAGCACCGGCUAACUCUGUGCCAGCAGCCGCGGUAAUACAGAGGGUGCAAGGGUUAAUCGGAAUUACUGGGCGUAAAGCGCGCGUAGGUGGUUUGUUAAGUUGGAUGUGAAAUCCCCGGGCUCAACCUGGGAACUGCAUUCAAAACUGACUGACUAGAGUAUGGUAGAGGGUGGUGGAAUUUCCUGUGUAGCGGUGAAAUGCGUAGAUAUAGGAAGGAACACCAGUGGCGAAGGCGACCACCUGGACUAAUACUGACACUGAGGUGCGAAAGCGUGGGGAGCAAACA
rnacentral:rRNA from 1 species